AGUAAAGUCAGCUAAUUAAGCUCCAGGGCUCAUACCCCUAAAAUCUCGGUGAAACUCCCUCCUUUACUA
rnacentral:tRNA from 1 species